rnacentral:rRNA from 1 species
UACGGGGGGGGGCAAGCGUUGUUCGGAAUUACUGGGCGUAAAGGGUGCGUAGGCGGCCUGUUAAGUCAGGGGUGAAAGACGGUGGCUCAACCAUCGCAGUGCCCUUGAUACUGACGGGCUUGAAUGGACUAGAGGUAGGCGGAAUGAGACAAGUAGCGGUGAAAUGCAUAGAUAUGUCUCAGAACACCAGUGGCGAAAGGCGGCUCACUGGCCCGAUACUGACGCUGAGGUGCGAAAGCGUGGGGAGCAAACAGG